CCUACGGGGGACAGCAGUGAGGAAUAUUGCUCAAUGGACGAGACUCUGAACCAGCCAAGCAGCGUGAAUGAAGAAUGCUCUCUGGGCUGUAAACUUUAUCUACAUGGGAAUAAAAUGUGCUACGUGAGGGAUUUUGUACGUACAAUUUCGAUCCGGCUGGGCUAACGCUGUGCCAGCAGCCGCGGUAAUACGGAGGAUCUGAGCGUUAUCCGGAUUUAUUGGGUUUAAAGGGAGCGUAGAUGGAUUGUUAAGUCUGUUGUGAAAGCUUGGGGCUUAACCGUGGAAGUGCUGUGGAAACUGGCAGGCUGGAGUACAGUAGGGGUGAGCGGAAUUCGUAGUGUAGCGGUGAAAUGCUUAGAUAUUAGGAGGAACACCGAUGGCGAAGGCAGCUCACUGGACUGCAACUGACGUUGAGGCUCGAAAGUGUGGGUAUCAAACAGGAUUAGAUACCCGUGUAGUC
rnacentral:rRNA from 1 species